rnacentral:rRNA from 1 species
CCUACGGGUGGCAGCAGUGAGGAAUAUUGGUCAAUGGACGAGAGUCUGACCCAGCCAAGUAGCGUGAAGGAUGACUGCCCUAUGGGUUGUAAACUUCUUUUAUAUGGGAAUAAAAUGUUCCACGUGUGGGAUUUUGUAUGUACCAUAUGAAUAAGGAUCGGCUGACUAUGUUCCAGCAGCCGCGGUAAUACGUCGGAUCCGAGCGUUAUCCGGUUUUAUUGGGUUUAAAGGGAGCGUAGGUGGAUUGUUAAGUCAGUUGUGAAAGUUUACGGCUCAACCGUAAAAUUGCAUUUGAAACUGGGUGUCUUGAGUACAGUAGAGGUGGGCGGAAUUCGUGGUGUAGCGGUGAAAUGCUUAGAUAUCACGAAGAACUCCGAUUGCGAAGGCAGAUCACUGGACUGCAACUGACACUGAGGCUCGAAAGUGUGGGUAUCAAACAGGAUUAGAUACCCCGGUAGUC